GUUUGGUGAGCCACGCUCCCGUCCGGAUCCGCGGGGGAGGACGGCGAUUUCGUCCCCAGCCUCACGAGGUCGGGAAGGGGUUCCCGCACCCACAUUUGUGAACCUCGCCGCCGCCCGUCCCCUGCCUUCACGAACCCGCCGCCGCCCGUCCCCUACUCUUCCUCGUGCACCCACCGUCGCUCGUCCCCUCGUCUUCCUUGCGCACUCGCCGUCGCCUCCUCCUCGCCCUCACGCACUUGAGGCCAGCUGCAGAACGAGGUCGGACGGCGGAGACGAGGUCGAGGUCUGCGACCUCCUCAACUUGCGCAAGACUGUCGAGACUGCAGGGACAAGCUCUUUGCUGCCUCGCCAGCUGCUUCUCGUGAUACACAAGGGAUUUUCAUCAACAAGUGGUCGCCAGAAGAACUGAAACAUCAAGAUGGCGUUUGUUUUUAGGUCAUGCCAUUCAGGAGAUGAUGCUAAGCUAAAUAAUCACAUCUAUGUGUACACUGAGACUGUUUUAUUAUGAGACUGUGUUUUAUUAUGAUGUACUGAGACUAUGUUUGUGUACACUGAGACUGUUUUAUUAUGAUGCACUGAGACUGUUUUAU
rnacentral:misc_RNA from 1 species